UACGUAGGUGGCAAGCGUUGUCCGGAUUUACUGGGCGUAAAGAGCGCGCAGGCGGUCGUGCAAGUCGCGUGUGAAAGCCCCCGGCUCAACUGGGGAGGGUCACGCGAUACUGCUCGACUCGAAGGCAGGAGAGGGAAGUGGAAUUCCCGGUGUAGUGGUGAAAUGCGUAGAUAUCUGGAGGAACACCGGUGGCGAAGGCGGCAUCCUGGACCGGCAUUGACGCUGAGGCGCGAAAGCCAGGGGAGCAAACGGG
rnacentral:rRNA from 1 species